rnacentral:rRNA from 1 species
AUUGAACGCUGGCGGCAUGCCUUACACAUGCAAGUCGAACGGCAGCGCGGGGGCAACCCUGGCGGCGAGUGGCGAACGGGUGAGUAAUAUAUCGGAACGUACCCAAGAGUGGGGGAUAACGUAGCGAAAGUUACGCUAAUACCGCAUACGAUCUAAGGAUGAAAGCAGGGGACCGCAAGGCCUUGUGCUCCUGGAGCGGCCGAUAUGUGAUUAGCUAGUUGGUGGGGUAAAGGCCUACCAAGGCAUCGAUCAGUAGCUGGUCUGAGAGGACGACCAGCCACACUGGGACUGAGAUACGGCCCAGACUCCUACGGGAGGCAGCAGUGGGGAAUAUUGGACAAUGGGGGCAACCCUGAUCCAGCAAUGCCGCGUGAGUGAUGAAGGCCUUAGGGUUGUAAAGCUCUUUUGCCAGGAAGAUGAUGACUGUACCUGGAGAAUAAGCCCCGGCUAACUUCGUGCCAGCAGCCGCGGUAAU